rnacentral:rRNA from 1 species
AUUGAACGCUGGCGGCAUGCCUUACACAUGCAAGUCGAACGGCAGCACGGGUGCUUGCACCUGGUGGCGAGUGGCGAACGGGUGAGUAAUACAUCGGAACGUACCUUAUCGUGGGGGAUAACGCAGCGAAAGCUGUGCUAAUACCGCAUACGCCCUGAGGGGGAAAGCGGGGGAUCGCAAGACCUCGCGCGAUUAGAGCGGCCGAUGCCUGAUUAGCUUGUUGGUGGGGUAAAAGCCCACCAAGGCGACGAUCAGUAGCUGGUCUGAGAGGACGAGCAGCCACACUGGGACUGAGACACGGCCCAGACUCCUACGGGAGGCAGCAGUGGGGAAUUUUGGACAAUGGGGGCAACCCUGAUCCAGCAAUGCCGCGUGAGUGAAGAAGGCCAUCGGGUUGUAAAGCUCUUUUGUCAGGGAAGAAACACCGGCUCUAACACAGUCUGGGAAUGACGGUACCUGAAGAAUAAGCACCGGCUAACUACGUGCCAGCAGCCGCGGUAA